rnacentral:rRNA from 1 species
AUGAACGCUGGCGGCGUGCCUAAUACAUGCAAGUCGAGUGAACAGACGAGGAGCUUGCUCCUCUGACGUUAGCGGCGGACGGGUGAGUAACACGUGGAUAACCUACCUAUAAGACUGGGAUAACUUCGGGAAACCGGAGCUAAUACCGGAUAAUAUAUUGAACCGCAUGGUUCAAUAGUGAAAGACGGUUUUGCUGUCACUUAUAGAUGGAUCCGCGCCGCAUUAGCUAGUUGGUGAGGUAACGGCUUACCAAGGCAACGAUGCGUAGCCGACCUGAGAGGGUGAUCGGCCACACUGGAACUGAGACACGGUCCAGACUCCUACGGGAGGCAGCAGUAGGGAAUCUUCCGCAAUGGGCGAAAGCCUGACGGAGCAACGCCGCGUGAGUGAUGAAGGUCUUCGGAUCGUAAAACUCUGUUAUUAGGGAAGAACAAAUGUGUAAGUAACUAUGCACGUCUUGACGGUACCUAAUCAGAAAGCCACGGCUAACUACGUG